rnacentral:tRNA from 1 species
GGGGGUAUAGCUCAGUGGUAGAGCAUUUGACUGCAGAUCAAGAGGUCUCCAGUUCUACUCUAGAUGCCCCCU